UGUUUAUCUAAUUUGACGUUCAAACUAAUUUCAAUAUCAAAAAGUUAGAAGGAGAUUGCGGAGCUUAGAAGUAUUUGUUCAGCUGGUAAGAAAUAGCGCCUCAAUGCAUCAACCAAAUAAAAAGAUCCGGAGACUUCAAACAACUGGAUGUGAAGGAUUGAAGUGUUUCGGUACGCAAUCAUGGAGUGGCAGGGUCAUCCAAAGGACAUGAACAUGGAAUUUCAUCGAUCAGUAUUCUGUUACGCGUACAAAUAUUGGCUGAACGAGGGAUGCAGCGGUAACGUUCUAUCGUAAUGCUUGAAUCGGGAAUUCAGUUCCUUGUGCGGAAAG